rnacentral:rRNA from 1 species
GAGUUUGAUCCUGGCUCAGAACGAACGCUGGCGGCAUGCCUAACACAUGCAAGUCGAACGAACCCUUCGGGGUGAGUGGCGCACGGGUGCGUAACACGUGGGAACCUACCCUUAGGUUCGGAAUAACACAGAGAAAUUUGUGCUAAUACCGGAUAAUGUCUUCGGACCAAAGAUUUAUCGCCUUUGGAUGGGCCCGCGUAGGACUAGCUAGUUGGUGAGGUAAAGGCUCACCAAGGCGACGAUCCUUAGCUGGUCUUAGAGGAUGAUCAGCCACACUGGGACUGAGACACGGCCCAGACUCCUACGGGAGGCAGCAGUGGGGAAUAUUGGACAAUGGGCGAAAGCCUGAUCCAGCAAUGCCGCGUGAGUGAUGAAGGCCUUAGGGUUGUAAAGCUCUUUUACCUGGGAUGAUAAUGACAGUACCAGGAGAAUAAGCCCCGGCUAACUCCGUGCCAGCAGCCGCGGUAAUACGGAGGGGGCUAGCGUUGUUCGGAAAUACUGGGCGUAAAGCGCACGUAGGCGGACUGGAAAGUCAGAGGUGAAAUCCCAGGGCUCAACCUUGGAACUGCCUUUGAAACUCCCGGUCUUGAGGUCGAGAGAGGUGAGUGGAAUUCCGAGUGUAGAGGUGAAAUUCGUAGAUAUUCGGAGGAACACCAGUGGCGAAGGCGGCUCACUGGCUCGAUACUGACGCUGAGGUGCGAAAGCGUGGGGAGCAAACAGGAUUAGAUACCCUGUUAGUCCACGCCGUAAACGAUGAAUGCCAGACGUCGGCAAGCAUGCUUGUCGGUGUCACACCUAACGGAUUAAGCAUUCCGCCUGGGGAGUACGGCCGCAAGGUUAAAACUCAAAGGAAUUGACGGGGGCCCGCACAAGCGGUGGAGCAUGUGCUUUAAUUCGAAGCAACGCGCAGAACGUUACCAACCCCUGACAUGGGUAUCGCGGGACCAGAGAUGGUCAUUUCAGUUAGCCUGGAUACCACACAGCUGCUGCAUGGCGGUAGUCAGCUCGUGUCGUGAGAUGUUCGGUUAAGUCAGGCAACGAGCGCAACCCACACUUUCAGUUGCCAUCAUUCAGUUGGGCACUAUGGAAGAACUGCCGGUGAUAAGCCGGAGGAAGGUGUGGAUGACGUCAAGUCAUCAUGGCCGUUACGGGUUGGGUUACACACAUGAUACAAUGGUGGUGACAAUGGGUUAAUCCCCAAAAGCCAUCUCAGUUCGGAUUGUCGUCUGCAACUGGGCGGCAUGAAGUAGGAAUCGCUAGUAAUCGAGUAACAGCAUGACUCGGUGAAUACGUUCCCGGGCCUCGUACACACCGCCCGUCACACCAUGGGAAUUGGGUGUACCCGAGGACGGUGCGCCAACCUCGCAAGAGGAAGCAGCCGGCCACGGUAGGCUCAGUGACUGGGGUGAAGUCGUAACAAGGUAGCCGUAGAGUUUGAUCCUGGCUCAAGUCGUAACAAGGUAGCCGUAGAGCUUGAUCCCGGUUCAGGUCCUUCUGGCUGGAUCACCUCCUUUCUA